rnacentral:lncRNA from 1 species
GCUGGAGAGACGGGAGGUCGCAGGGCCAUUGGCCUCCUUGAAUCCUCUGGAGUCUCUGAAGAUCUGCAAAAGCCUUCUUGUCUUCCACCCCAUGGUGACAGGCAUGGGGGGAGGCAAGAGUGGCCAGGAAUUGUCCUCUCCCCUGCACUGCUGGUGUGGGGGAAACGUAGGCGGGACCUGAAGCGAUGCAGCCCCCCUGGGCAUUCUCACCUGGUGGCUGGCUCUUUCCUCUCUGGGACUGUUCUAGAAUCCCUGGAAAAGUCUGGGAGCAGAGGCUCCUCGCAGACUCAGCCCUCUGAGCCUCAGGAUGGGCCUCGGUCAAAUGGGGACCGCUCACACCUGGCCUCCAUUGUAUCCAAAUGUGAUUACACAUCUGGGCAGCAGCUCCCCCCCGCCCCGUCCCCGCCCUGCCUCAAGAAGGAGCGCAAGGCGAGCGAGACUCCUGGAGCCAAGACGACCUUCACCCUUGGGUUUUGUCCGCGUGGAGAAGACAGGUGCCACAGUCCUGCUAGGGUGAGUCUGCGAGGAGGCUUUGCUUCUGCGGAAGCGCCUUCUGUCCUGAGACAGCGGGAAGCGGCGGGGUGGGGGGACACUCCUCUUUCCUUUAGACCUGGGCGCGCUGGCCGCAGGGCAGUUUGUCUCCCAAGGGUCCCCGAUCUGAACCUGGUCGGAUUGGCUGGGAUCUGCGGAGGCUGGGGGCGGGGUGGUGGCUGGGGAGCCCCUUUCCGCACAGCAGAGUGAGGUCUCCGUGGCUGCCCGUGCCCGGCGGACGUCCUGCGCCAAUCGCCGGGCAGCGCGGAAACCGUGAGAAAAAGGAGGCGCGCACCUUGCGGGCUGUCCCGCGCCUCCUCGGGUCGGGGUUGGUGCCUGCGCGAAGCCUCAGGGCGGGUGCGGGGGCUGCGGCUGGGCCCUCGGCUGAGCCGGGCCCCGCGCGGUCUCCGCCCCGCGCACCCCGGCUCUAGAGCGCCGCGCCUCGGCGAUGCCCGCCACCGGCUUCUGCGUCCCGGGACGCGCGAGCCGAGUCACUCCUGCGCC